UGGAAACGACUGCUAAUACCGCAUAACGUCUACGGACCAAACGGGGCUUAGGCUCCGGCGCAAAGAGAGGCCCAAGUGAGAUUAGCUAGUUGGUAAGGUAAAGGCUUACCAAGGCAACGAUCUCUAGCUGUUCUGAGAGGAAGAUCAGCCACACUGGAACUGAGACACGGUCCAGACUCCUACGGGAGGCAGCAGUGGGGAAUAUUGCACAAUGGGGGAAACCCUGAUGCAGCCAUGCCGCGUGUGUGAAGAAGGCCUUCGGGUUGUAAAGCACUUUCAGUUGUGAGGAAAAGUUAGUAGUUAAUACCUGCUAGCCGUGACGUUAACAACAGAAGAAGCACCGGCUAACUCCGUGCCAGCAGCCGCGGUAAUACGGAGGGUGCGAGCGUUAAUCGGAAUUACUGGGCGUAAAGCGCACGCAGGCGGUUUGUUAAGCUAGAUGUGAAAGCCCCGGGCUCAACCUGGGAUGGUCAUUUAGAACUGGCAGACUAGAGUCUUGGAGAGGGGAGUGGAAUUCCAGGUGUAGCGGUGAAAUGCGUAGAUAUCUGGAGGAACAUCAGUGGCGAAGGCGACUCCCUGGCCAAAGACUGACGCUCAUGUGCGAAAGUGUGGGUAGCGAACAGGAUUAGAUACCCUGGUAGUCCACACCGUAAACGCUGUCUACUAGCUGUUUGUGACUUUAAGUCGUGAGUAGCGAAGCUAACGCGAUAAGUAGACCGCCUGGGGAGUACGGCCGCAAGGUUAAAACUCAAAUGAAUUGACGGGGGCCCGCACAAGCGGUGGAGCAUGUGGUUUAAUUCGAUGCAACGCGAAGAACCUUACCUACACUUGACAUGCAGAGAACUUUCCAGAGAUGGAUUGGUGCCUUCGGGAACUCUGACACAGGUGCUGCAUGGCUGUCGUCAGCUCGUGUCGUGAGAUGUUGGGUUAAGUCCCGCAACGAGCGCAACCCUUGUCCUUAGUUGCCAGCAUUCAGUUGGGCACUCUAAGGAGACUGCCGGUGACAAACCGGAGGAAGGUGGGGACGACGUCAAGUCAUCAUGGCCCUUACGUGUAGGGCUACACACGUGCUACAAUGGCAUUUACAGAGGGAAGCGAGACAGUGAUGUGGAGCGGACCCCUUAAAGAAUGUCGUAGUCCGGAUUGGAGUCUGCAACUCGACUCCAUGAAGUCG
rnacentral:rRNA from 1 species